rnacentral:tRNA from 1 species
AUGGCUGAGUUAGUAGAGCAUUGGAUUGUCACGCCAAGGUUCUAAGUUCAAAUCUUGGU